GCCAGGUGUGGUGGUGUGCACCUGUAGUCCCAGCUACUAGGGAGGCUGAGGUAGGAGGAUUGCUUGAACCCAGGAGGCCAAGGCUGCAGUGAGCUGUGAUCACACCACUGCACUCUAGGCUGGGUGACAGAGCAAGACCUUGUCUCAA
rnacentral:SRP_RNA from 1 species